UUAUUUUGUAUGACCGGGCCUAAAGGUGAUCCGAUCCAAUAACUAAACAGACUAAAGCUACAUUAAACUAAAAAGGCGUCAGAUUAGGAAAGUUGAAGCUUUUCUAGAAGCUUCACACCUCGCAACCCUUUACAGUUCUUGAGAGCAACUUCUUCCAUCGAAUUGUUCUGUUGUUGAUGAUACGAUGAUGGUCUGACUUGUGAAUUCCAAUGCUGAUGAUAGCUCCCAACUUCUAGAUCUUGAAAAAGCUAAGUAUUCUACUCGCUAAAAAUCCUUUCGUUGAUAGCCUAAGUAGAAUUUCAUUCCAAUGAUUCUGUUGUAUGAGCUUGAAUUCAUAUGAUCUUCUGGAAAUCUAUUCUUCCCAUACUUGGAAAUGAGGUAAUCUACUUCAUUUAACUUUGAUUUGUAGCUCGGUGUUGUCUAGCUUUAUUUAACAUAGAAAUUAUAGAAAUUUUGGAUCGAUUACACUUCGUCACCUAAAUCACUCACCAGGUGCUAUGUAUUCGAUUCCACUGAAAUAACUCUCCAAGUACUAAUUUCUAUGUUAGUUUAAGUAAGACUACACCAAUUUAUUUACUCGUUGACAUUACUAGUAUGCAGUUUUGUUUAUUCCUUUGUAAAGGAAUGAAUCUCGUAGGGAUUAAUACCACAUUUACAUUACUUUAAACAAGCCUACAAUUUUAGUAAAUUAUUAACUAUGAAUCUGUCCUGUCCAUUUAAUAUCUGUCUGGAUGAUUAAAACUUGGGAUUCAAAUGGGCCUCCCUUGUCUUCUUUGCAUUACUGCCUUACUAGUAUUGUGAUGGACUUUUAUCUGACCCUAGCUAAUAUGGUAGCUGUUGCUUCAUCCUUCUAACUCUAAGAUGUGAAAUUUGUUGUUUAUCAAGCAUUGUAAUUGCUUUAGCUCUCUUUGGUAACUCUUUGAAAUUGUUAAAACUGAUUGUGCCUGUAGAAUUAAAACACCAGUUAGCUAAAAAAUCUGUAAGGGAAUUUCCUUCUCUGUAAGUAUGUUGCACUCUGACCAUUCCCAACUCCACCAUGUAUUUUAUCCUCCUUACAAUACCACUUAUUGUCCAAGGGAUUUCCUACUCUCCUUUCACCAUUUUUGCUAGUGUAAAUGAACUAGUUUCAAGUUCUAUAGGCAUCUUCUGAUGUUUUAUACAAUAAUUGCGGCCUUCCAUCAUAGCUAAUGCAUCUGCAUAAAUAUUAGUGUUAUCCUGUAUCUGUUUACAUGAAGCAUAGAUCAAAUCACCUUCCUCAUUCCUUAUACAAAAGCUAUUGAGCUUGCACCAGAAUUUCCUUUUGAAGUGCCAUCAGAAUUGCACUUAUACCAUCCUUAUAUAGGUUUUUUCCACUUUAAUACUUCUGUGUGCACUUUCUGAUUAUACCUCUGCAAAAAUUCAACUAUUAGAGUCCAUGUAUGAUGGACUUCCUGCAACCUUGGAUAGAUCACUAGGGUCAAAUUGUGAUGGUUAUCAUCCAUCUCAUGAAUGACCCUAUGCAUUGACAUGGAACCAACAUGAUUUAUUUUAUUUCUCCUCUUCCAUAAUUACCAACAUAGAAAAGCUGGAAUUACCUUAGCAAUAGGAGUAAUCCUCUCAUCAAAACUUGUACUUCACCAUUUUGACAAUGGUUAAUGACAUUGUAUAAGUGGACCUUGAACCCCUACACUUGGUGUAUAAUAGUGCCACAUCCUGGAUGCAAAACUGCUUGAAACAAAUACAUGAUGAAUUGUUUCCAGUUGUGUUAAAACACAACAUGUACAUCUAGAAAUCAAAUUAAUUCCACAUCUUUGUAUUAUAUCAUCCACAGGAAUUUUAAAGAACCACAACCUCCAUAGAAAGAAGUUUAUCUUCACAAGGACUCCUUUACUCCAAAUAUACUUCCACUUCGCCUCUGAUUCUUUUUAUGUCUAAGCAAAUUGUAUGCACUGAAAACUGUAAACUUCCCACUUGUUGUUGGCAUCCACAAUGGCAAAUCCCAUGGCUAUGUAUUCUGGCUUACAGUGAUGUUGUCAACAACAUGCUGAAUAAUGUCGUUGGGUAAUACUCUUUGCCUUUUCUGAAUGUCCCUAGAAUCACCAACAAUCAGCUUGUCAAUGUCACCUUCAUCUUCAUUGAUAGAACAAUCUGAAUCCACUACAUAAUACAAUGCCCCCAGUCUAGACCAAUUGUCAAACCAAAUAUUAGAGGAUCCUACAGUAGGUUCCCACCAAAUUUCCUAUUCAAUAGCAUCCCUUGAUUCUAACAUUUUCUUCUACACCAGAGUCCCACUCCUCCAUUGAACUACUGUUGGAAUAAAUUUAUUGCAAUACUUAUUCCACAUAUAAUCAGUCCACAAAGAUUUAGUAGUUCUAAAGCUCCACCAUAGCUUAGCAAACAUAGCUUUUGAAAUAUCAAAGAGGUCCCUGAAACCCACUCCUCCUUCUUCCUUUGGAAAACACAUCCUCUCCCAUGACCACCAAUGCUUAUUUUUACCUUCCUCUUUUGUGCUCCAUAAAAAUCUAUUAAAAAUCUUAUGCAAUUCACUUAUAAUACAUUUUGGAGGCACCACAACUGAUAAUAAAAACAAAGGCGUACUCUGCAAUAGACUAGAGAUUAAAAACACUUUUCCUCUAAAAGAUAAUAACUUACCUUUCCAGUUCUGUAAUCUGCCUUUCACCUUUAUAAUGAGAUCUUUAUAACACUCUUUUCUUUUUCUUGCAUGAGUGAUAGGAUACCCCAAAUAUUGAAAAGGAAACUUUCCUUGAUUAAAACCUGUAAUAUCUUUAACCUCAUUCAUCAAGGUGACUGCAACUUUGUUAUACAUAUAAAAAAGAGCUUUUACUCUCAUUGAUAUACUGUCUUGAUAUUUCCUGAUGCCCUUUAAGAACAUUAUUGACUAGCUUUAGUGAAUUUGAAUAUGCAGAGGUAAAAAUUAUGGUAUCAUCUGCAUAUGCAAGAUGAUUCAGAUUCUUACUCCACUUAGGCAAUCCAUAACCUUUAUACAUUCCAUCCUCAAAUAAAGAAUUCAGAGAUCUUGAUAAAACUUCAGAUGUUAUAAUAAAUAGAGCAGGUGAAAGGGGAUCUCCUUGUUUUAACCCUCUUAUUGAAUGGAAAAAACCUUGUGAAUGGCCAUUAAUGAUAAUUAAGUACCAAUUAUUAGCCACCAACCUCCAAAUCAUAUCUAUAACUAUUUCAGCAAAACCCAUUUUCCUCAUCACCUUAGUAAAAACUAACCAAGACACCCUAUCAUAAGCCUUAGACAUAUCUAAUUUCAAAACCCCAUUACUGGUUUUCCUCUCAAUUUGAUGUCAGGUAUAAUUUUGUGAGUCAACAGAACAUUCUCAAUAAUUCUCCUUCCCUUAACAAAACCUGACCAAUUGGAAGAGAUUAGUUUUGGAAGAAUCAAUUCCAACCUAUCAUGUAUCAACAACAACAAACCCAGUGUAUUCCCACAUAGUUUGGUCUGGGGAGGGUAAGAUGUACGCAGUCCAUACCUCUACCUCUAAAGAAGUAGGAAGGCCGUUUCCGAUAGACCCCCGGCUCGAGACAACCUAUCAUGUAUGAAUCUAGAAAUUACAUUAUUAAUGAAGUUACUCAAACUAAUAGUCUUGAGCUCUGAAAAGCUUUCCACCAUCGCUUUUUUUUGGAAUCAACACUAAAUUUUUAUGAGUAAUAUUUUUAAGCAGAGUAUUACCUUCACAAAACUUCUUAUGAUCUUUAAAACAUCCUCUCCCACAAUGUCCCAACAAUGUUGAAAAAACGACCCUGAAAAACCAUCUGGACAAGGAGAACUACUAGCAUUUAAAGAGAAAAUUGCAUGUCUCACUUCUUCUAAUGAUGGUUAUACCCAUAAACCUUUUAUUCUCUUCUUCAGUAAUCAAAGUAGGGAUGUAAUCCAGCAAAUCAAAAAUUGUACCUUCUUCCUUUUGAGAAAACUGUUCCCAAAAAUUUCUUGCUACUUCAUCUCCAAUCAUUGUGUUAUCUUCCAACCAGUUACCAUUAAUAUUUUUGUAUCCUGGACAUAUGAAGUUUCUUUAUUCUACCUUUUACAAAGCUAUGAAAGAAUCUUGUAUUUCUGUCCCUCUUUUCAAACCAAGUAACAGCAGCUUUUUGUCUCCAAAAUUGUUCCUCCAGAUGAAGAUAUCUUUUAACCUCUUCUUGGGCCUGCUGAAGAACACUUCUAUUUUCUUGGGAUGGCUUUUCUUCAAAUAGCUUCUCUUUAAUAUGCACAAUUUUUUCUCUGAUGGCAAAUUGUUAGAAAAUGUCACCAAACCUCUCUCUACUCCAUUCAUUCAAUGCUUUCCUGACAUUUUUUAAUUUAUGUUUGAAGAGCCAAAAACUAUUUCUAACUUACUCUGUCCUCCAAUUCUGUCUUACUAACUUUUUAAAGGAAUCUUCUUCAACCCAAAAUGAUAGAAAUUUGAAAGGUUUAAAAGGUUGUUGUUGGUCUUUAAGCAUUGUAAAAAAAAGAGGGGCAUGAUCUGACCCAGUUCUUGGCAAGUGCUCCAGCUACAAUCUAUUAAACCAGUUCUACAGAGCUUCAUUAGAAAAGAUUCUGUCUUAACCUUUCAAAAAUACAGUCACUUCCUGUCUUACCAUUCCACCAAGUAAAAGGGCUCCCUCUAAAUGACAUUUCAUCAAGUUCCCAUGAAUUGAUUCAAAAGGAAAAAUCCUUUACCACUUGUAAUGUAACUGGAAGACCUCCUAUUUUCUCCUCCUCAUUCAACAAUGCAUUAAAAUCUCCUCCUAUCAGCCAUGGAAGAUUGAGGGUGGACAAAUUGCAUAUGCAAUUCCAUAAUGGAAUUCUCUCAGCUUCUGAACACUUGGCAUAUACCAUAGUUAUCAACAUGUGCUUUUGAUCCUCAGGUACAAAAAUCUUAAUGGAAAUUUGUUGAUCUGUAUCACUGAUAAUUUCCAUUCAAACAUUAUUUCUCAAGAAAAAUCAAAUCUUUCCAAAGACAUUCACUGAAGCACUAUACAUAUUCAGCUUUCUUCUGUAUUUUUCAAUCUGCCCAGCUUGUUGAAAAGGCUCCAUAAUAGCUAUUAAGUAAAAUUUGUGAUACCUAUUAAGCAUUUCGAGUCUAAUAAAAGCCUGACGAGUGUUAACAAACCUUAUAUUCGCAAAAAAGAGCUUUCAUCAUUUACUAACUUUUGCUGACACCACAUUUCUCUUUGGUAUUACCCUUUUAGGUAAUUGUUCUAUGAUUUGUUUUUUCCCCUUUUUAGAGGUUUUUCACAUCUUGUGGAGAAAGGUUGACUUGUCUACUACUGGACUCCACCUCUUUAUCUGAUUCUUCUUCUAUAUCAUUGUUAGCCUGGACAUUUGUAUCACUUGACUUUGCAAUUAUAUUACCCGACUUUUGGGUGACUAUAUCAUGCAAGGCUUUUGAAGGAAUCUUCUUCACUGAAACUGGCUCUAUAUACUUUUGUCCUAACAUUACAACACCAUUAUCAUCAUCAACACUUUCUUUCUGUUCAGGUAACUGCUCUAUUUGACUAUAUUUGUAUAAUGAUCCUCACUAUCUUCUUCUUAAACCGCAAGGGGGCUAGUAUUUAUAUAGCUGUUGCAAAUUAAAGCAUUUCCUUGUUGCUCAGCCAUAGUAACCUCCUCCUGAUUGUAGAGGUCUUCCUCUUCAACCCUAUCACUCUAUUUGGAUUUACUUUCUACCGAGUUCUCUAGAUUUGAGCCUUUGUUGCUGCUUUGCUUUUUUGACGAGUUUCUUUCCUUAUUUUGUUUAGGUGUUUCCACCUUAUUCAUAACUGAAGGAAAGUUAUUCUACACCCAUUCUCUUGUAGUCAAUUGCUUCUUUUUUUCACCUUCAUUCUCUAUGCUCUUCUCAUUUUCUUGUGAUUCUUCAUUCAGCACAUCAAAAGGAUUCACUGUGGAAAUGCCCUCCUUUGGCUCUAAAAUCUUCUCUAUGUUAUCUUUCAAGAUAUAUUCAUCAUCUUUGUUCUUGAUAAAUCUUCUAUUAGUAGGGUGCCACCUUCAAACACCACUACCAGAUUUCCACCCAUUUUGAUUAUUAGCGAACUUUAUCUCCUGCUAGUUACCUUUGCCUUGGCCAUCUCCCACUUCAUCUGUAGCAAUUUCCUGCCUAAGCUUUGGAUGAAGAACUCUACACUCUUCCUCUACACGACCCUGUAAUUUGCACUUCUUACAGUAUGUAGGAAUCAUAUCAUAAUUGAUCUUUACUUUAAUUAAUGCUCCACACUUCUUUGGUAACUUCUCCAUCAUUACAAAUUGAUGUCUUUCAUCCAAAAGAUCCAACUGUACUUUCACUCUAGCACAGCUUGGACGAGUUUUAUUUAUUGUUGCUACAUCUAAAUGCAGCGGUUUACCAACAACAGAAACUAGUGAAAAUAAAGACUCAUUGAAAAAGAAGGUUGGCAAUAGAUCUGGGAAAGAUAUCCAUGCAAUCACUUGCGUAGUUUCUUCCUCUAGCUUGAAAUUUGAAUCAUAUAUCAAUGAUCGUAUUUGAUAAGAAUUUUCAUCUUUUGCAUUGAUGUAAUAAGAACUCUUAGACAAAAUGUUUAUGAAAUCCUCCAGUAGCUCUAGUCUAAUAAUUAGAACAUGCCUAUAACGUAGGAAACCAAUUUUGCAAUUUUCUUUUAACACCACAUUGUAAUGGGAUUUGCUCUUGUAGUUCUGUUAUUGCAGGCUAACCUUAAGAAAAUUCACCCUCUAAUAGCGUAAUGUAAAUUCUCAAUGAUAUUCUUUCUAUUCAUUUCUUGCUCACAGUCCAUUUACCCACAGGAACACCAUCUUUAAAAUCAUCCUUUUUAAUUGGAAUAGGGGCUACAUCUUGCUUAAUAUCCUGAAUUUUCGUCUGAGCAUUCAGAUUGCUAAUGGUAGCAAACUUUUCAACAAAAGAUGCGUGAUGGUUAUUAAUGGGUUUAGAAGUAAGCUUAAAGGAGGAAAUUGAAUAGCUGAAUCAAUGGGUGGUGAUUGACCAUUCUCCGGCAAAGAAUGACCGACCGUUGAUGCCAUGAGCAUUUUAGGGGUUAGAGAGAAAAAUCGCCUUUUUCACACACAACACACACAGUGUGGAACCAACAUGAGCCACAGAAUUUAAAAAAGUGACCAAAAUAGGCUAUCUAUUUAAAAUGUUACCAAAAUAGAUUAAACGUAAUAAUUUAUUACGUUUUUUACUUUUUUGUUAAUGAUCAACUAACGGAAUUGACUUUUAUAAAAACGUAAGAAUUUCUUAUGUUUUACAGAUUUAUUUGUAAAACGUAAAAAAUUCUUAUGUUGUGUCAGAAAAACACGUAAACCGUAAGAAUUUCUUACGUAAAAUAAAUGCAGUGAGUUGUCAAAUCAUUUAAUAGUCACUUUUUAGAAAAAAAUGUCCUACAACAUAAUAAAUACUUGCGUUCUUCACUUUCUUAUAAAACUUAAAAUGGUCCCUCACAAUUCCUUUUUCAAUUAAUGUCUCAACGUAAGUUUUAAUUACCUGUUACACUUUUAUACACUUCUAAAUUAAAUUGUGAUUCUUUGCUUCAUUAAUUAUAAUAAAUAAUAUAUUUGUACAUGCGAGUCUCCUCAAUGUUCUAAUCGAAACACUAAUCGUAAACUACAAUAAAACAAUAAAACACUAAUCGAAAAAAUUAAUUUCAUAUUUUUAAAAUAACAAAAAAAUAUAAUUAUUGUAGAGACCCCCUUUAAAAGUGGCGGUGGGGGACCACAUAAUAAAGUUGAUGAGAAAUAAGUGCAAAUAGUGGGGAUGGGGGACUACUGUUAUAAAAAAGUGAAGAACGUAAGUAUUUUUUUGAAAAGUGAUUUUUAAUUGAUUUGACAAUUCACUGCAUUUAUUUUCUUCGACCAUCGUGUAAAACGUAAGAAUUUCUUACAUUUUACGUGUUUUUCUGACACAACAUAAGAAUUUCUUAUGUUUUAUAAAUAAAUGUGUAAAAUUUAAGAAAUUCUUACGUUUUUAUAAAAGUCAACUACGUUAGUUGUCCGUUGACAAAAAAGUGAAACGUAAUGAAUUACUAUGUUUAGCCUAUUUUGGUUAUUUUUUAAAUAGGUGGCCUAUUUUGGUCACUUUUUUAAUUUCGUGGCUCAUUUUGAUUUCGAGUUCAUAUAUAUAUAUAUAUAUGUAUCUCCCAAUUUGUGAGCUUCAUCGAAGUCACCUUGAAAUUUUUAACCUGUCAUUUGCUGAAAACGUAGAUCUGAAAACGUAGAUGGAGUAUUGACCCAUUCAUUUCUACUCAUCAUUAAAAAUAUGAUUGAUAUGUAGUCCAAACUAAUUCAUAAUAAAUCUUGUAAACAUUUUUGAGAAGACAUUUUCUUUUAAAAACUUUAGUAUGUUAUAUAUUAUCAUUACAAAGAACAAAAAGUUUAUUAGGUAUUAAAAAUUUAUAAAAAAGUAAAAGAAAAUAAUUAAUACUUGAUAAAAAUUGAACGGAUUGAAUUAUGACUCAUAUUUUGGCUUAUUUUAGUUUAAGUAGCUUUUGAGAGGGUCGAGUUUAUAUCUCUCCCCGUCCCCUUCUGUCCAUUUACUAACCCAACACAAUUUGAUCCAUAUAGAUCAUCAAUUUGGACAAGUAAAUCCUAAAGAAAUUCUACAGAUACGAAUAUAAACUCACUUGUAAGUUGGUGCAAUAGCAACUUAUAUCACUUAGUUUUAAUAUAUGUGGUGUUUUUUAAAUUUCGAAAUUCAAUUUAUGUUUAGCUUUGAUCAUAAUUUUUUCGAAUAGUUUUUGAAUAUUUUGAAUUGUUAAUUAUUGUGAUUUGUCACUUAUAGUACCUUUUAGCAUUUGGAGCCUAAAGGACUAUUUUUUUUCCAUUCCAAAUUCUUAAUGGACAAUCAUAAAUCGAAAUGAGAGAAGGCGAAUGAAGGCUCACACUUUGCCCUUGACCUUUUAAAAAUAGUAAUUAGUUAAUGGUUAAGAGUAAGGCGAGGACACUGUUUUAUCUUACAAGGGAGGCAUCAGUUGCCCUCCUUACCCUUUGAAAAAAGUGGGUGAUAACAGUUACAUUUUGAUACCGAAUUUUUUUUUUUUUCUCAAUCAGUUUUUUGCCUUUUCUGAACUAAUGUUUUGGUAGUUUUUUUAAAAAAUUUCCCAUCUUUCUAUUCUACUUGUGGCUUUUUAAAAUUAUUACCAGAAUUUUUAUUUUAUACUUUUCUUGUAUUUGAAAGCCCGAAGUUCUCCCCUAAGUGAUAAUUGUCUGAAAUGUGUUGUAAAAUACAUCUUUGUUAGACUUAGAUUGUUACUAUGUAAUUACUAUUUUUUAAUGGAGUAUGUAUUGUUAAUAUUAGUUUAUUUUUUUUUACUUUGAAAUAAGGGAGCUUGUCAUUAUGGGUAUACUAGGAGAGAUUCAUUGAAUAUUAGCACUAAAAAGAAUAUCUAUAUUAUUGCUUUUCACAAGGGCCUGUUUGAAAAGCCAGCCUGAAUUCACACAGUUUUGUCUAUUUGGUUGGCCAGGUAAGUACUGGGUCAGCAGAUAAUUGAAUGUAAUUGGCAAAAAGAGUAUUUACACUUGUUAAUUAACAGAGGAAAAUUGUGAAUUAUUGGUAAUUACAAGUUAGUUAUAUUUUAAUUUCUUUCUUUCAUUUCUAUUUUUACUUGACACAGGCCCAACAUUAAGAUAUUUAUUUGUCUUUUCAAUCUUAAUAUAUUUAAAUACAAAAUUUUAAUAAAAGAUUGCAUAUGUUUUCUAGGAUUCAUCCGGAAUCUAGCAUGAGUUUAAUAUAUGUUAUUUUAAUGUGUGUUUAGAUAAUUUAAGUUGUUAACUAUUGUAAUUUAUAAUAUUUUUUACGUAAUUUUCAAAUUAAUAUACGUUACUUUUCUUGUCCAAAUUUUUGUGGCAUUGAUAGUCAAUUAUAUUUUAAAAAUAAUAUAAGUUUUUAAUUAUUGUAAUUUAUAUUACUUUUCUUUUAUUCCAAUUUCAGAGACACUAAUAUAAUUUCAAGAGCCGACCAAAUAUUUUAUAUCUUUUAAAUUUUUUAAGUUGUUGAUUAUUGUGAUUUCUAGUAUUUUUCAUGUAAUCUUUUUGAAAUAUAUAACAUAUUAAUUUUUUUUUAGAUAUUUUAAGUUGUUUAUAAUUGUAAUUUAUAAUACUUUUUAUAUAAUUUUUAAAUAAUAUAUGUUACCCUCCUUUUUGAGAGUUUUGUAUCGACAAUAAUCAAUUAUAUUUUUUAAAUAAUUAAAAUUUUUUAUUAUUGUGAUUUAUAAUAUUUUUUCUAUCUCAACUUAUGUGGCACAAUGCUUAAAUGAUCAUAAUAAUUAGUUAGGGGUAAUAUAGUAAAAUCACGAUUAAAGCAGCUGAAACAGAAAUCAGUCAAUUUUUUUUUAAAAAUUGUUAAUUAUUGUUAUUUACAUUACUUUUUAUUUCAUUUUCAAAUAAUAUAUGUUGCUUUAUAUCUUCUUCUGUCCCGUUCCGAUUUAUGUGUCACUAAUAUAGUUUUGAUAGUAAAUCAAAUAUUUUAUGUUGACAUAUCAUUUUGUUAUUCUUAUUUUUCUAAUACAUAAAUGACUUAUAAUAAGGAGUGAUAUAGUAAAAUCAUUGUUCGAACAACGAAAAUUUAAUUUAAAACAUUCAAAGUUAAUUUCGCAUUUUAUUUUUCAUGAAAUAUUAUUUUUUUUAAUACCUAGAUGACUCAUAAUAAUUAAUUAAGAGCGACUGAUUAUGUUAUUACUAUAAAAAUUAAUUUAAUUUUAUCAUAUCCAAUAGUAAUCAUCUAUAAGUCACCGAAAUAGUAUAUUAAUUAAAUACGGGAUGCUAUAUUUGCAUAUGCAAAAUAUGGUAUUAUUAAACAUUAUUGGACAGUGCAUUAUAUUUAUCUUUCACAAUAAUAAUUUUUUUUAUAUAUAUAUAUAUAUAUAUAUAUUGACCCAACACAAAUUCUAAGAAAAUAUUCAUUAGAAAUUUAUUUUAUUAAAUUAAAUUUAUUAAUUUUUUACUUUAAAAAUUUAAAGUUAAGUUUAAAUAUUAGUAUUUCUAUAUAAGAGAAAAAUAAUUUUAAAAUUUAAAUUUACUAAAAUAAAUAAAUAAAUAAAAAGAUUAAUUUUCUAUAUAAAAGUCAAUUAAAAUAAUAAAAUUGAUUUACUUUAAAUAUUUUGUUGCAAUUAAUUAAGAUAAUUUUUUAUUUUGUCAUGAUUUAUGCUGCACAGAUAAAAUUUGGAGAGUUAAACAGAACUAUUAUCUAUUUUUAAAAAAAGUUUUUUAACUUGUUAAUUAUGGUGAUUUAUAAUAAUUUUUACGUAAUUAUCAAAUAAUAUAUUUACUUCUUGUGUCCCAAUUUAUGUGGCUUCGAUACAAUUUUGAGUUUCAACUAAAAUUUUUAUAUAUCUUUUAAAUAUUUUAAGUUGUUAAUUAUUAUGAUUUGCAGUACUUUUUCUUUUAUCUCAAUUUAUGUAACAUUGCUAAAAUAAUGAGAGUCAAUAAAAUUUCUAUAUGUUUUUUAAAUAUUUUAAGUUAUUAAUUAUUUUGAUUUAUGGUAACAAAUUAGUUUUGAACAUGAUAGCNNNNNNNNNNNNNNNNNNNNNNNNNNNNNNNNNNNNNNNNNNNNNNNNNNNNNNNNNNNNNNNNNNNNNNNNNNNNNNNNNNNNNNNNNNNNNNNNNNNNNNNNNNNNNNNNNNCAAUUAAAUAAAUAAAUAAAAUUUACUUUCAAUAUGUAGUUAUAGUUAAUUAAUAUAAAUUAAUAGAAUAUAUUAAAUAUUUAAACCAUUGUAAUGAAAUAAUGAAAUUAUUAUAUAUUGGGACACGGUAUAUAAUUAAGUGGAAGUAGUUUUUUUGGUAAUUACAAGAGGUGGUUGAAACCACCUUUUCUAUAUAAUAGAAAAGAAAUAUUUCAUUUUGAUUUUUGUAUUUUUCUUUUUUCUUUUUAUUAUUCUAGUUUUCUUAAAAAAAUAUUUAUCACGAUCCAAUUUUUUAAGUCACGAUGGAGUCUACCUUAUCUCACCAGUAGGCAAGUCAAGCCAUAGCCCGCACUACUGAAAAUUACGGCUAUGGCAAUGGUUCAACUACCGUCUCCAUAGAUAUCAAAAUUGUUCUUGUGAUCUAUGGCUACGUAUGGUUACCACAUCCGCUAGAAUUGACCGCAUUACAGUAGCUCUAACGCGACGGUUGUAUACAAUGGUGACCUAAACAAUCGCUAUAUUGGUACUUAUCAUGAUAGUUCUUGUUUCAAAUAAAUUGCGACGGUUGAUAAUCUAUUGAGGCGUCUACCAACCAUCCCUAUAAAAUGUUAUACGAUAGUUACAAAUAUGCUAUUGCGAUAGUUGAUAAUUUGUUGAGACGGCUACCAACCGUUCCCAUGAAAUUUUAUACGACGGUAAUAAAUAUGCUAUUACAACGGUUGAUAAUCGAUUGAGACAGCUACCAACCAUCUCUAUAAAAUGUUUUGGACAGUUAUAAGUAUGUUAUUGCGCUUUAUUAGAUUGUGAUGUGAUAGCUAUUUGUAGGCUGUUUCGGCACUUAUUUUAUGGGCUACAGCAAUGGUUAUCUAUAGGGUAUUGUAACAGUUGUGUAAUUUUUAGUUGUUUUUAGGCUAUUCGGAUAGUUAUUUUUAGGCUAUUAGGACAAUUAUUUUUAGGCUAUUACAACACUUAUUUAUUAGACAACCCAACAGUACUAUAUUAUGCUAUGACAAUGAUUUUAUAAAGCUAGCAUAAUAUAAAAUGUACAUAUUAAUUGAUCAAGAGUAGUAAAUAUUAAUUCUCAAAAUGACAUCCAAGAAAUCAAAUAUUUCUUGACCAUUCGAAAAAAUCAAAACAUAAACAAGUUUGAAUGUUCAAAAAUAAAAGAUGUUUGAAACUUGGUCGAAUUUUUCAACAAUGUAACAUGAAGCCAAUGUGAUCGAUCUCUUAGGUCAGCUCUCGUUCAUCGAUUCGUUACUAUCAUCUUCUACGUCAUCACCUAUAGUAAUAAGAAAAGCAAAGACGAUGUUAAUAGGGUAAUAUUUUGCAAACACCAAGACACAGAGGAGAAAUAUUUAGCAACAACACCAGCAAAAAUAACAUCAUCCAAGGGAGCAAGCUAAUAAAAAACAAAUGUACAAAUAAAUUAUUUCACUCGAACCAUCCAAUAUAGUCCAACAACAACAACAAAAAAUAAAGUAACCUUAACUGAAGUGUGAUUCUCAGUAACAAAAGUAACUUAAAUCAGAAUUUCAAACACUAUAUAGUCAAGCAAAACCUUAGCUAGAGUACAGACCUCUCGACAUCCUGUCUAAAAUUUCAUAAUGUAGCUUGGUUAAAUUUAUACGGACACAUAGCAACUGAAUAUCUAUUCCCAGGUUGUUCGGAUCACUCUCUCAUAAUGCUCCACAUUGAAAAUGCUACUACUCCUACAAGAAAACCAUUUAGACUAUUGAUAGUACUACUGAGGCAAAAUUCUUUUAAGGAGAUUUUGCAUGAGGUAUGAAAGUAGGAGGUGGAGGGAUAUAGUUUUCCUCCUUAGAGGCUAAGAUGACUGGACACUGAGAGACAACUUGAGACAAGUAAAAGAUGAUCGCAAUGAAGACCAUUUCAAUUUUGAGAAAAUGAUUUUAAGCCAACUGCAGAAAUACAAAAUAAUUCAUAAGGGUGUCUUGAGAUAGAAAUCUAGAGCUACUUAGAUAUUAGUGGGAGAAUCAAAUUCUAAAUAUUUACAUGCUCAACUAAAAACAAGACAAGCAAAAUAUAGAGUAUCCAGCAUCUAUAAUGAGUAAGGGAAGAAACUCUGCAAUGUUGAUGCAUAGUUGACUAGCUUUGUUCAGGUGAAGUAAGUUACCUUUUUACAGAAGUAAGUCUCUACUGGAGAGAUCACGGGGAUUAAUCUACCAAUUGUGGACUUUAAAGAAAAAAACGCGGAUGGAACUAGUGCAAAAUAUUUUAUUUUGGAUAUUACAUAAUCUAAUUCUGGUGGCUCAAAUAUUAUUGCAUUGAAUGAUGAUUUUGAGCGCUGGGAAACAGAGGCGAAAUUGUAGGUGUAGAGCACGAUAGUCUUCAUGUUACUAUUAUAUAAUACAACCUCUAAUGGAGGCGCUGACGCUUAAAAUUUCUUGGCACUUUUCAGCUUCUAAGGUGCGAGCUACAACUUUAAAAUAUGUUGGUCAAGAUAUGGAAAUUAUUUCUACUACUAGUGUAUUGGUUUAGAAGCAACAAGCUAAUCCUUGUCAAAAUUCUUAUGUAAAGCCUAACACUAACGGAACCCUAUUUCUUGUGGGUAAUAAUGUUGGGGAAUAAACUGGACAGUAACUUGUGACAAACGAGAUAAAAGAUAAUGCAUCUAACGGAUUCUUGAAAGGAUACUUGAGUAGAUUGCGAUUUUCAACUCAUUUCUGGCUUCCAUCUAUCAUCAAAUCGACAUAUAUCAAGAAACAAGUUUCUUCCUAAAAUUGUGACGAAACAAACUUUAAGUACUUGUGUAGAAUUGAAAUCUUAACAUAACUGGCAUAGGUAAUCAAACAAUUAACGAGUAGACUGCCUGAUUCUACCUAGUCCUGAUGUUCUAGACUCAUUAUAAACAUGGGAUCAUAGACAAUGGAAUUUGUAAAUAUGAUUUCAGUAGUACUUUAGUACUAAUCUAUUUUUAUGGAAUAUUUACCAUUACCAGGAACCAUCCAAUACAGUCCAAUAACAACAAAAAUUCCAGCCAAAAUGUGAUAUAAAAUAACAAAUGAACUGAUCCAAUACAAUCAAUCAACAAAAACAAUACCAGAAAAAAUGUGAUAUAAACCAACAAAUAAAUUGAAUAGUUCAUAGGAACCACCCCAUAAACUCAACAAAAAUGUGAUAUAAAAUAAGAAAUGAGCUAAUCCAAUACAGUCCAACAACAACAACAACAAUACCAACAAAAAAGUGAUAUAAAACGACAAAUGAACUAAUCUAAUAUAGUCCAAUAACAACAACAAUACCAGCAAAAAUGUGAUAUAAAAAGAAAGUGAAUUGAAUAGUGAUGUUGGGUGUAUUUAUGCAUUCUACCGUUAUUAUUUUAGCCUUAUUUUGAUGAUGAUUCAUGUGAUUAAUGUGUUGAUAAUGAGAUAAAUAUGCAUAUAAGUGUCCAUGUAUGUGUUUACAAUAUUUGGUGUUUCCACACAAGUUUUGAUUCAAAUUGAUCAUUUAAAAGUCAAUCGUGAAAACUAGUGUGACUAGCCUGUGCUAGGCAUUUGUCUAGUCUAUCGUGUUGGGUUUUAAUGUGUUUAAUGAGUUUCUAAGAUUGUUAUUGUGCAUUUAUAUGUGAAAAAACUUGAUUUUAAUGUUAAAGGGUCAAUUGGAUCAAAAUAAGAGUUAAAACAAAGAGCUAAAGAUCAAAGUGAAUGAAGCCUAGUCUUAGCUCGUGCUUCUAGUUCACCGUUGAGGAUGUUGUGUUGUUUUGAACUCUAAAUAGUUGUGUUUAAUGAUAUAGGAUGCUUGGUUAAUGGAAUAUGAUGAUAUAUGAAGUAUUUACAAGCUUCAAAUCAAGUGGAAACAACUCAAAAAGACUUAGAAUGGAUCACAGAAGUACAAAACAUAGCUUGACGCAAAUUUGGACACCUAAAAAGUAUUGGAAGAGUGAGGGCGCGUGAGAAUGGAUCUAGGCGUGUGCGACACACUAAUGGAUUCAGAAGGCACCCAAAAUAGUGAAACAAUGUGAUUUAGAUGCGACGCGACGCCCUCCAACACAUUAAUCACUGGGUUCAUAGAUGACCAGAAACUGUUUCCUUGUUCAACAAGACAUAGGUUAUUUCUUCUACUAUAAAUAGGACCUUAUACACGUUUUUACUUAAUUUUGGAUAUCUUGGAUGAUUAAAGAGGCUACCACAACUUCUUUUUAGGGUUUAUAUCUCUUUAUUUUAGUUUCUUUCAUGGUUUGUAUCAUCAAUCCAAGGGAUUGGAUGAUGAAUAUGUCCAUUAAAGGCAAAAAUCCCUUUCCGGGGUUAAGGCCACGAUCAUGAUUACUUUUGUUUUGAAUUAAGUUUUUUGGAUUGCUUAUCAUUAAUGGUUGUUUGUUUAUUCUUGUUUUAACUAUUUUAAGGAUUAACUAUCCUUAGAAUACAUCAAUUGUCAACUUUGUGAUCUCGGGAGGGGGAAUAGGAAUAAAACAUGGAAAUAAGCAAAGUAUGGUUUGUGUUUCUUUAUGAAAUAAGGAAUUCAAAUUAGUGUCUAGGACAGGGAUGUACAUAGAUGACUUAUUUGCUUUAUAUGUAGGAUGAUAUUUGUAAAGAACUUAAGUGAACUAUUACAUCCCCGCUCAAUGAUGUAGUUGUAAGGUUUAACUUAGGUAGAGGAUUAGAGGUUGGGAAACCAUAAUCAUGCAAUUAACCCUACAUAUCAACAACUAAGAUAAGUGAUUUACUGUAUUAAGUUCAAUAACAUAGUAAGAUUUUUCAUCAGCCUUAACCCUGGGCUUCUAUCCAUUGAUUGUCCUAAGUCAUUACUUUUUCGUAUUAGUUUAGUUUCUUUUUAGUUUACAAUUCUAAAACUUUAUUGUUUAUUUUUUUCUCAAUUGUUGAACUAGAAUAGGAUAGUCGGCGAAUGCAAUUCCCUGAUAGAUCGAUACUUGGAAUUUCUUGAAGCCAUUUUACUACUUGAUAAGACCACGUACACUUGUGUGUGGGCUUGCGCGCUGUCAAGUAUUUGGCGCCGUUGCCGGGGACUUGUAACUAGGAAACUAUCUUAUUUUUAGUUUUUCUAUAUUGAGUUGUAAAUAGUUUUUGUUUUCUAGUUUCUUUUUAUUUUAUUUUAUUUCUCUUUUUAUCACACUUCUUGACAUGACAACCUGGGAUAGAUGGGUUUCGAGUGAUGACGAUUCUAUAUGAUUUGUGGCAAUAGUGGUCAUUCUAAAGAUACGUAUGUUGUAAAUCCUGAUUCAGUAAUGUUUGUGGGCUAUGAUCAAAGGCAAUACUAUAUAAAUGCCUACAAUAAGCAACAACCGUUUCAACAGCCCCAGGUUGAGAAUUACCAGACCCCGAUUCAAACGAGCAAUAUGAAAGAAAUUCUAAAAUAAAUUCUAGCUAAACAAGCACAAUUGUCAGCAGAUAUGAAGAGUAAUGCAGCCAUUUUAGAGCGUCAGAAAAUUGUCAUAAGGAACUUGGUAAUGCAGGUAGGGUAAGUGCAACAUGUAUAUAAUACCAGACCUCAAAGUAAUUUGUCAACUGGCAGUGGACAAAUAAUUAAAAUCACUUUGAUAAAUGGUACGGAGCUCAAUAAAGAACCUCCAAAGACAACUAAGGAGGUAGAUGUAGAGUUGACUUCCCAACCUAUUGAAGACAAAGUUACUAACAAUUCAAGGAAGUCUGAGUACUUGGAAACUAAAAUUGUUGAACAGGUUGAGGAGAUACCAAUUCCAGCAUGUCUACAAUGGCUAAUCAAAGAAAAAUAUGAGGAGGAUAUUAGCCAAUUUAUGGAGAAAACACAAGAAUCACAGCCACUCGAUUGUCAUCUUUAUCUUGAGACUAAAAUGGAUAAGGUGAAUAAAAGUGAGUGUGUAGUAGAGAGUCUAUCAAAGAAGGAAUUAGGCUACAUAUGAGGCUACCAAAGAAAAAGCUAAACGCUCAAUUAGGUUUAACUAGGAUAAUGCACAAGGGUAGGUAAAAAGAAUGUAUAAAACAAGGCUAGAUGUCUUUGGAGAGGGAAGAGAAAGAUAGCUAUUACAUCCCAAUAUUUCUAAUCAUCAUGUAUAUCAUCCCAACCACCAUACAUCAAACAUAAACACCAAUAGCUAUUAACUUGGAGCAUCAAUUUCACCUUUUCUUCUUCUUCAAUUUCUCAAACUCCUUACUAAAUCUUGGGAGGGAGAAUAGGAAGAUAGAAUUUGGGAAUAAGCAAAGUAUGGUUUAUGCUUCUUUAUGAAAUAAGAAAUUCAAAUUAGUGUCUAAGACAAGGAUGUACUUAGAUGCCUUAUUUGAUUCAUAUGUAGGAUGAUAUUUGUAAAGAACUUAAGUGAACUAUUACAUCCCUGCUCAAUGAUGUAGUUGUAAGGUUUAACUUAGGUAGAGGAUUAGAGGUGGGAAAACCAUAAUCACGCAAUUAAUUAACUUCAAGAAAUAGGAUUUAUUGCAGUAACAUUUAGUGGUGACCCUAUUUGUUGCUACAAAAGAUUCAUGUUCAGUGGUGACAUAUGUUGUCACCACAGAAUAUAAACUUUUAGCAGCAAGUUUUCUUGAUUCAUCACUAAUGUGCGUGACUAAUUCUGAAUUUAUCAAUUCCCGCCUGUACCAAAAUUUUGGCUCCACAUUUUUAGUGGCAACUUGUAAAUAAUCGCCUCUCAUGUCAUUUUGGGGCGACCCAGUCGCUACUAUAUUAAUCCAAUUAAUUAAUUUAUUUAAAAAUACAAUGAAAGUUCUAAGUUAAAAAAAAAGUGAAAGUAAAAGCCGUAUUUUUUUUAGAUCUGCUCAAUUUCUCUCCCAAAAUUUUUGAUCUUCUCUUGAUAAAUUUUCAAUUCUUCAUUACUUAAAUCUCAAAUCUUGUAAUACCUCAAUAUUUGAGUCACAUCUUACAGAUGCAAAAACUAUAAUUACAAAUAAUACUUCGUCAGGUAUGUGCUUAAAUUCCUUUGCGGGUAUAUAUUUUUUUUUUCAGAUUUCACCUGUAAUUUCUUUAACCCAUUUAAAAAUAUUAGGAAGUGUAAGGACGAACGGAGAAAGUUCAUAGUUUGAAAAUCAGUACGGGGUAAUCCAUUUGAAGUUGUGAAGGUUUGAACUUGUUUGAAGCUUUGAAGGUACAAUUGAUGUUUAUCCCUAAUUUUAUUUUUGGUACUUUUUGAUUUUUGGUCUUGACAGUCGUCUCUAAGUUAUCUAUCUCUCUAUUAUGUUUUGCGAAAUUCACCUUGAAAUUUAAUUGUCUAUUAGAUGUUUUCCUUAGUAGACAUGAUUUUAUCAAGAAAUAUUAAUGUGAAUAGUUUAGUAUUUCAAUUGUAUUUUGCUAAUUUGUUUGUUUAAUGUACUGACAAAUGAAGACUUGUCAAAUUAGUUCAUGAAUUCUUUUUUCUUAUGCCUUUUUGAGUGCUUAUUUAAGUUUUGUUUUGAUGUUUUUAGGAUAAUGGCUCUCAAGGAUCAAAGCUCAGACGCCGACCGUCGGCUCUCUCUCUUCCUCCCUACCCUCUCUCUCACUCGCACCGGUCACUGGCCCCCGUCGCCGUCGCCGACCGUCGGCGCUUUUUUAGGAUAAUGGCUCUCAAGGAUCAAAGCUCAGACGCCGACCGUCGGCUCUCUCUCUUCCUCCCUACCCUCUCUCUCACUCGCACCGGUCACUGGCCCCCGUCGUUGUCGCCGACCGUCGGC
rnacentral:lncRNA from 1 species